AUUUGACUACUUUUCAACUUUAACCUGACCAUUACUUGAACAAACCAAAAUAAGAAAAGCACAGAGCUAGAGACAAUGAAAAAGACAAAAUGUGAGAGAAAUCGGGACAGUAAGAGAGAAAUGACUGUGAGUGAGAGAAACAGAGGGAUUCUGAGAGGUUGAGAGAGUAAGAGAGAGAUGGAAGGAAAGAGUUUGAUCGAUGGAAGGAGAAAGAUAAGUUUUCGGUAGCAUGUAACAAUUUAAAAGGAUUUCAUUUUUUCCGACACACAAAGAUUGGCAAUACCAUCUUAUUUUUCAUUUCAUGUUAAAUUCCACAUCAAGGAUUCAAUUGAAGUAAUUUGAACGUUAAAACAAAAUUAAAAAUUUUGAAAGAAUAGGAACAAAAUUG
rnacentral:misc_RNA from 1 species